CACGCCGUUCCGGGGGAGCCGAUUCCCCUCUCACGGCGGUAACGCGGGUUCGAAUCCCGCUGGGGUCACCA
rnacentral:tRNA from 1 species